rnacentral:rRNA from 1 species
UACCUGUGUGACUGCGUACCUUUUGUAUAAUGGGUCAGCGACUUAUAUUCUGUAGCAAGGUUAACCGUAUAGGGGAGCCGUAGGGAAACCGAGUCUUAACCGGGCGUUAAGUUGCAGGGUAUAGACCCGAAACCCGGUGAUCUAGCCAUGGGCAGGUUGAAGGUUGGGUAACACUAACUGGAGGACCGAACCGACUAAUGUUGAAAAAUUAGCGGAUGACCUGUGGCUGGGGGUGAAAGGCCAAUCAAACCGGGAGAUAGCUGGUUCUCCCCGAAAGCUAUUUAGGUAGCGCCUCGUGAAUUCAUCUCCGGGGGUAGAGCACUGUUUCGGCUAGGGGGCCAUCCCGGCUUACCAACCCGAUGCAAACUGCGAAUACCGGAGAAUGUUAUCACGGGAGACACACGGCGGGUGCUAACGUCCGUCGUGAAGAGGGAAACAACCCAGACCGCCAGCUAAGGUCCCAAAGUCAUGGUUAAGUGGGAAACGAUGUGGGAAGGCCCAGACAGCCAGGAUGUUGGCUUAGAAGCAGCCAUCAUUUAAAGAAAGCGUAAUAGCUCACUGGUCGAGUCGGCCUGCGCGGAAGAUGUAACGGGGCUAAACCAUGCACCGAAGCUGCGGCAGCGAACGUAUCACCCAAGACAACUUUACGGAGUUGACGAUUGACGGAGCGAAGCGACGUCAAAGCGUUCAUUAAAGUCGAGUUGGCUUAGGGAUACGUUCGUUGGGUAGGGGAGCGUUCUGUAAGCCUGUGAAGGUGUGUCGUGAGGCAUGCUGGAGGUAUCAGAAGUGCGAAUGCUGACAUAAGUAACGAUAAAGCGGGUGAAAAGCCCGCUCGCCGGAAGACCAAGGGUUCCUGUCCAACGUUAAUCGGGGCAGGGUGAGUCGACCCCUAAGGCGAGGCCGAAAGGCGUAGUCGAUGGGAAACGGGUUAAUAUUCCCGUACUUGGUGUUACUGCGAAGGGGGGACGGAGAAGGCUAUGUUGGCCGGGCGACGGUUGUCCCGGUUUAAGCGUGUAGGUGUGUGUUCCAGGUAAAUCCGGUU